UUUAAGUCACAGUGGUUUUAACGUAUACAAGUAGAUAUAUAGAUUGUAUAUAUGUGUGUGUGUGUGUAGAGAGAGAGAGAGAGAGAGAGAGGAGUGACAUCUGGUCGUGGUGAAAUUGGAGGAACUGGGAUUGGAGGGCGCGUAGUUUGGAAGCUUUGAUGUCGUAAGCUUUUUCCUCUUCUGGUGAUGGGGGUUUGCGUGGACGGCCGUGCAUUUUUUCGCAGCGAGAUAGAGAGAGAGUCGCUGAGGAGAGAGAGAGAGAGAGAGAGAGAGAGAGAGAG